UUGGAGGGCAAGUCUGGUGCCCGCAGCCGCGGUAAUUCCAGCUCCAAUAGCGUAUAUUAAAGUUGUUGCCGUUAAAAAGCUCGUAGUUGAACCUUGGACCUGGCUGAUCUGUCCUCCUAAUCGAGCGCAUGGAUUCGGUCGGGUCUUUCCUUCUGGGGAUCCCCAUGCCCUUCACUGGGUGUGGUGGGGAACCAGGACUUUUACCUUGAAAAAAUUAGAGUGUUCAAAGCAGGCCUUUGCUCGAAUACAUUAGCAUGGAAUAAUAGAAUAGGACA
rnacentral:rRNA from 1 species